UGGCGACCGGCGCACGGGUGAGUAACACGUAUCCAACCUGCCGAUGACUCGGGGAUAGCCUUUCGAAAGAAAGAUUAAUACCCGAUGGCAUAGUUCUUCCGCAUGGUGGAACUAUUAAAGAAUUUCGGUCAUCGAUGGGGAUGCGUUCCAUUAGGUUGUUGGCGGGGUAACGGCCCACCAAGCCUUCGAUGGAUAGGGGUUCUGAGAGGAAGGUCCCCCCACAUUGGAACUGAGACACGGUCCAAACUCCUACGGGAGGCAGCAUG
rnacentral:rRNA from 1 species